CGGUCUCAGUUCAGAUUGCUGGCUGCAACUCGCCUGCAUGAAGUUGGAAUUGCUAGUAAUCGCGAAUCAGAAUGUCGCGGUGAAUACGUUCCCGGGCCUUGUACACACCGCCCGUCACACCAUGAGAGUCGAUAACACCCGAAGCCUGUGAGCUAACCGUAAGGAGGCAGCAGUCGAAGGUGGGGUUGAUGAUUGGGGUGAAGUCGUAACAAGGUACC
rnacentral:rRNA from 1 species